ensembl:lncRNA
GGGCCUCUUGUUGGAAGUUCCUCCCUUGUGGAGUUUUCCUUAUGUGCCUAGAUCUUUGGAGUUUCAGCUGGGAUGGAAUAGUUUUCUUCAGAAUACCUGGAGAGAUUGGAAUGCAAGGACAGAUUGGAAUGCAAGAUCUAAUUUUCUCCUAUUUUGUUUCCCAUGCAGCCACUUAUGGAGCUGAGAGCAAGGGAGACUACCUGGAAAACAAAUGAGAAUGUUCAGAGAGAAUUGACAAUUGGGAGAGGAAAAGAAGGGGCCAAAACAACACUUCCUACUGUCCCCAGCCCCUUCCUUGAGAUAAAGCAAUCAUUAGGAUGCAGUGGGGCUGUGGAGCAGGAGAAGCAGGAGCUCCCUGAGGUUUUCUUAAAGCCAUAUGGGACAAGGAGCCUGUACUCUUAGUGGUUUCUAUUCUAUUGGCACUAUCACUAUGCAGAGAGGCCAAAAUGGAUUUAGUAUGUUUUUGAAGUACUGAACAUUUGCUAAACUGCCACUGAGAGAUUUGGAGCACAAGUCCUUUUAUUUCUAUUCCAAAUUAUGCCAAAUAAAAACAGCACCAUGUAUGCACAGAAUGGCAUUGGAAUUGCAGCACGCUGUCCCUGUUUCUCAGUCUGCACUUCAGGUCAGUCUCCAUGCUCUGCCAGGCAUCCCAAGGCUGGAAAUGGUCCUGCUGUCUGCAGUGUACCUUGUCAAGAGCUGAGUAAUACUUAGCACAAGGAUAGCUUUUCAGAUAACCACUAGACCAAAUGAAAGCGGGUCUGUGUUGACACAUUCUGAUUCAGAAAGAUCUCUACAUGACUAAGAGACACUUUCAAUUUCCAGGAUCUAGAAAUAGAAUUGCAAAUUUGUUCUCUUCUCUGUAAAAUAUCUGGAUGGGGUGGGUCCUCCUACUCCACACAAUACUUGUGGGGUAAUAAGAGAACUCAUAUUUUUUUUCUGUGUUAGGAAAAGAAGGGGGGGAGUAUUGUCCAGCUGCUGGGCUCCUUUCUUUUUAUCUUGGCUGUCAAUUAUCAGAUCUCCAUCAUAUGAGAAGGAAUGGGAGUUUCUCACACAAGUGGGAGAAGCAUACCUUUCCUGACAAGUGGACUUAGGCAAUAGUGGGGAAGAACUAGCAUGAUGAACAAUUUCUUGGCCAAUUAAAUAGAACUCUCACGUUACUUUCUCUCCCUAUUUUUGAAUCUGUAAUAUCUGAAUUGGUUGAAACAUGUUUGAGUAGAUGAAACAAGUUCACUUUGACACAAAAUGGUACCACAGCUAAAUACAAAGUGAAAUUGCAGGAGUCAGAAGAUAAUUUUUCCCUGGUUCUGCGUCAUGAAACUAUACCACAUUCACCAGGAAACUUAGUUUACACAAUUGCAUUUUGAAUGAUGCCUUAAGAAUAAGGCUUUCCAAAAAGCAGCUAAUACAAAUAUCGGUUUUAUUUUUUGAAUUUGGUUUUCCUGGGUAACCGGAUGACUAAAGGAAAGCAAACAUGUUUCGACAGUGGCAUCUAGUGGCCGAACACUCCCUGUGUAAUGAAACCAUAAAGGAAGGCUGCCAAUUUCCAAGAAAGAAAUGUUAAGAUAGUCUGCUGUGGAAAGUGUAAAAUAAUAAUAAUAAUAAAAAUGCGUCGUCCUUGUUGUUAUUAUUAUUAUUACUAUUGCUUUUUAUGGUAUUUUGCUGGGGAAUGUCUUCUGUGCUACUGUUGCUAAUAGGAACUAGGUGACUAGCAGGAUAUUUCAAAAAAGUGUAAGAGGAAAAAAAUCACAAAAAGGGUUUUUUCUGGUUUCUAUGUAGCCUCACUUUGCUUAUGUUCAUGCUACUGUGCUCUAGUGUGUCUGCCAGACUGCAGAAAUCCAU